rnacentral:sRNA from 1 species
ACUUGUAUUAUAGUGACGAGAAUGUAUGUGUCUUUUAAACCACCACAACGAACAAUUUGUUGAAAGAAAGUAUAUAAUGCACCAUCAUAGACUAAAGAACCAUUGUGCUGAAUUACACAGGCCUUAGUAAGUUCUUGAUAGAUUUAUCAUUUACGUAGCUGAUGAAUUUCACCCUGGCUUAAGUAUGUAAUGUUUUUCUGUUUAACAGAGGUUUUUGCUUUGGUAUCUGACAUAUGAUUCAGCGUAAUGCCAUUGUGCAUCAAAUAUGUUUCCCUGUGUUUAUCAUUAUGUGUAAUUGGUAUAUUUUUUUUGUUUAUUGGUAUAUUCUUUAAUAUUGACCAAUUCUACACAAUGUUUGUUAGAUGAUUAAGUUUGAUAUCAUCAUUAGAUCAUUGAUAAGAUUUAUUCUGUGCAAAAUAUUCAACAUGUAAGUUGCUUUGUUUUUCUGUGAAUUAGCAAAAAGAAUGGCUAAACAUGACAUGCAUGGCCCGUGUAAGAAAUAAAUUUUUUGGGUGUGCGAUUACAUUGUUUUUUUUCCCACACCACUGUUGUUGCAUCUGGCUAAUCACAAUUGGCAACCCUUUAAGUUUCUCUCAGAAUUGAUUUUUUGCUCAUGGCUAGCCAUGAUUUUCACAUCCUUAUUAUUUAUGAUUGCAGAAUGAAAUGAAUGGUGAAGCUAUAUUGACACAUGUCAAGUUCAUGUUUUUGGGACUUGUGACUGUACAUGUUUCAUUCUUACCUGACCGAUGUAUUUAUUGUCUUAGACUGCAUAUAUAGAAUCGUCACAUUAGUUAUAUCAUAUUCUGUUUGAUGCACAGAAAGAGAAUUGCAUAUUUUUUAUUGAUGGCCAAUAAAUGAUCAAAUACUUGUAUUU